UACAGAGGGGGCUAGCGUUAUUCGGAAUUAUUGGGCGUAAAGGGCGCGUAGGCGGCCACGCGUGUCUUUCGUGAAAUCCCUCGGCUUAACUGAGGACGUGCGGAAGAAACUGCGAGGCUUGAGUCCGGGAGAGGGGGGUGGAAUUCCCAGUGUAGCGGUGAAAUGCGUAGAUAUUGGGAGGAACACCGGUGGCGAAGGCGGCCCCCUGGACCGGUACUGACGCUGAGGCGCGAAAGCGUGGGGAGCGAACAGG
rnacentral:rRNA from 1 species